rnacentral:tRNA from 1 species
GGGCCCGUGGCUCAGCCUGGUUAGAGCGCUCGACUGAUAAUCGAGAGGUCGUGGGUUCAAAUCCCUCCGGGCCCA